AGCCUAUCAGUGUCAACGUUCACGUCACAAACAACACCAACAAGACGGUGAAGAAGAUGAAGAUUUCAGUGCGUCAGUAUGCUGACAUCUGUCUAUUCAACACAGCACAAUACAGAUGCCCGGUCGCAACAGAGGAGACAGAUGACGUGGUGGCUCCGAGUUCAACGUUUUGUAAAGUCUACACCCUCACCCCUUUCCUCAACAACAACCUCGUGUAACUGAUCUGGUGUUAUUGAUUAUCGUUGUCGCAGUGACGUGGUGGCUCCGAGUUCAACGUUUUGUAAAGUCUACACCCUCACCCCUUUCCUCAACAACAACCGAGAGAAACGUGGUCUGGCAUUGGACGGGAAACUGAAGCACGAGGACACAAACCUGGCUUCUAGUA